rnacentral:rRNA from 1 species
GAUGAACGCUGGCGGCGUGCUUAACACAUGCCAGUCGAACGGUGAACACGGAGCUUGCUCUGUGGGAUCAGUGGCGAACGGGUGAGUAACACGUGAGCAACCUGCCCCUGACUCUGGGAUAAGCGCUGGAAACGGCGUCUAAUACUGGAUAUGUGACGUGAUCGCAUGGUCUGCGUCUGGAAAGAAUUUCGGUUGGGGAUGGGCUCGCGGCCUAUCAGCUUGUUGGUGAGGUAAUGGCUCACCAAGGCGUCGACGGGUAGCCGGCCUGAGAGGGUGACCGGCCACACUGGGACUGAGACACGGCCCAGACUCCUACGGGAGGCAGCAGUGGGGAAUAUUGCACAAUGGGCGCAAGCCUGAUGCAGCAACGCCGCGUGAGGGAUGACGGCCUUCGGGUUGUAAACCUCUUUUAGCAGGGAAGAAGCGAAAGUGACGGUACCUGCAGAAAAAGCGCCGGCUAACUACGUG